GGAAGGAUCAUUAACAAAAAUUGAACUUAAUAACUAACUGAAUCUUAGUGCGAUUAGCACUAAAUUAAACUUAUAUUGUUUUACAAUAUAACUAAGUUGUAUGGUUGAUAUAAAAAUUAAAUUUUCAACGAUGGAUGUCUAGGCUCCCAUAACGAUGAAGAACGCAGCGAAAAUGCGAUAUGCAAUGUGAAUUGCAGAACCACGAAUCAUUUGAUCUUUGAACGCAAAUGGCGCUGGCAUUACCAGCAUACUUGUUUCAGUGUGCCUAAACAAAUAAAUAAUAAAAAUGUAAGAGAAAAUUCUCUUAUUAAAUAUAUGCUCCAAGUAGCAGUCGCAUUUUUAUGUGAUCUACAUGGAUGAAAAUUGACUUAUUCGCACCUGAAAUCAAGUAAGAACACCCGCUGGACUUAAGCAUAUUAAUAAGCGGAGGAGAAGAAAUUAACUAAGAUUGCCUUAGUAAGGGCGACUGAACCGGCAAAAGCUCGAAAUUAAAAUCGGUCAUUCAAUGAAUUACCGAAUUGUAAUCAGGGUGCCCUAAAUACGUGAAGUAACUAAAGUGUAUCGAAAGACACGCCAAAGAGGGUAAAAGCCCCGUAAAGUUAUUUCACGAGUAACGGGAACUCGAAAAAGAGUCGUGUUGCUUGGAACUGCAGCACUAAGCGGGAGAUAUGAUUCUCCCAAAGCUAAAUAUGGAUGGGAGACCGAUAGCGAACAAGUACUGUGAAGGAAAGAUGAAAAGGACUUUGAAAAGAGAGUGAAAAGAUCUGAAAUCGUUGAGAAGUAAGCGGUUAAAACUGAUCGAGGUUAUGACUGUGCAACGAGGCCAAAAGUCUCAGAGUACAGACCAAAAACCCUGGACAAAAUGAGGAUAAAUGAGCUAAAAAAGGCUAAGCCGAUUAAGGUUUAUCUAUCCUAAGGGACUAUUGUGAUUUUGUCUAAAAGGUUUUAACCGUCCCGUCUUGAAACACGGACCAAGGAGUCUAUCACAUAUGCGAGUGUGCGAGUGUAAAAACUUAUACGCGUAAUGAAAGUAAAAGGUGCGAAGCUACGCAGCAGCAUCGACCGGCCUAGUACGAAAGGUCUGAGUAUGAGCAUAUUAGAUAGGACCCGAAAGAUGGUGAACUAUGCCUGAGUAGGGUGAAGUCAGGGGAAACUCUGAUGGAGGCUCGUAGCGGUGCUAACGUGCAAAUUGCUCGUCAAACUUGGGUAUAGGGGCGAAAGACUAAUCGAACCAUCUAGUAGCUGGUUCCCUC
rnacentral:misc_RNA from 1 species